rnacentral:rRNA from 1 species
UACGUAGGUGGCGAGCGUUGUCCGGAAUUACUGGGUGUAAAGCGCGCGUAGGCGGUAGGCCAAGUCUGCUGUGAAAUCGCCCGGCUCAACUGGGCGCGGUCGGUGGAAACUGGUCAACUGGAGGACGGUAGAGGCGAGUGGAAUUCCCGGUGUAGUGGUGAAAUGCGUAGAGAUCCGGAGGAACACCAGUGGCGAAGCGGCCGCCUGGACCUGACCUGACGCUGAGGCGCGAAGGCGCGGGGAGCGAACGGG